rnacentral:rRNA from 1 species
UACAGAGGUCCCAAGCGUUGUUCGGAUUCAUUGGGCGUAAAGGGUGCGUAGGCGGCGCGGUAAGUCGGGUGUGAAAUCUCAGGGCUUAACUCCGAAACUGCAUUCGAUACUGCCGUGCUUGAGGACUGGAGAGGAGACUGGAAUUUACGGUGUAGCGGUGAAAUGCGUAGAUAUCGUAAGGAAGACCAGUGGCGAAGGCGGGUCUCUGGACAGUUCCUGACGCUGAGGCACGAAGGCCAGGGGAGCAAACGGG